UGUUUGAAGGGGAUGAUGGCGGGAAUGGAAAUAAUGAAUGGAGUGUUGUAGAAAAACGGAAAAGAAAGAAAAAUAGCGCAUCUGAAAACGAUAGUGAUAAUGGACCUCGUCUGACAAGAAGAAGGAAAGAGGAGUAUAAGAUCAGUAGGUGGCGGUAAUGCACCUUUUUCGUUGGUUUGCCAAACCGCCAUAAAACACCAGAAGAAGAAGAAGAAGAAUGACCGGGAAAAUCGGACAGGACUGAGAAGAUGACAACAGCACAGCGGGGUUUUAGAAGCCCAUCAGAGUGAUUUUCUGAGUUCUUUCACAUAUGCUGUAUGGUCAGCGAAUGGAUGGAUUAUCCAGUCACGGUACAUAAUGAAAGAUGCAGUUAUGUCAAAGCACUCGUUUCGGCUGGCCAGAUUGGAACAGACCUGAAUGGGAAGAUGGCAGAGCUAAGACUGGCAAUGUCCAAGAAAAAUAUUAACUAAAAAUGAGUGUGUUU